rnacentral:rRNA from 1 species
GGAUUAGGGCCAGCAAGUCGCACGAGAAAGGCUUCUUCGGAAGCCGAGUAAAGUGGCGAACGGGUGAGUAAUGCAUAGACAACUCGCCCUUGAGAUGGGGACAACGCCUCGAAAGGGGUGCUAAUACCCAAUGCCGCCUUGGGCCUGCGGGUCCAGGGUGAAAGGAGGCCUCUGAUUCAAGCUUCCGCUCAAGGAGAGGUUUAUGUCCUAUUAGCUAGUUGGCGGGGUAACGGCCCACCAAGGCUGCGAUGGGUAGCCGACCUGAGGGGGUGACCGGCCACAUUGGGACUGAGACACUGCCCAGACUCCUACGGGAGGCUGCAGUCGAGAAUCUUCCGCAAUGCGCGCAAGCGUGACGGAGCGACGCCGCGUGGGUGAUGAAGGCCUUCGGGUUGUAAAACCCUGUCAGCUGCUACGAAACACGGGCGAUGAACAAUCGUCCCGUCUGACUUAAGUAGCAGAGGAAGCACCGGCUAACUACGUGCCAGCAGCCGCGGUAAUACGUAGGGUGCGAACGUUGUUCGGAAUCACUGGGCAUAAAGGGCGCGUAGGCGGUCUGAUAAGUCAGGUGUGAAAUCCCUCGGCCUAACCGAGGAACUGCAUUUGAUACUGUCGGGCUAGAGUACAGGAGGGGAGAGUGGAAUUCCUGGUGGAGCGGUGAAAUGCGUAGAUAACAGGAGGAACGCCGGCGGCGAAAGCGACUCUCUGGCCUGUUACUGACGCUGAGGCGCGAAAGCUAGGGGAGCAAACGGGAUUAGAACCCCGGUAGUCCUAGCCCUAAACGAUGGGCACUAAGUAGAGGGGUUUU